ACACUCUUAAAUUUUACUCAGAAGAGUUAAAAACAAGUUAAAGACAGCUAUAGACAAGAUAGGAAAUUUUUUAGGGCCGAUCCUGAACUCAAACUAAAAGACUCAGAAAUAUCAAAUCAGUUCCCGCCUGAAAUAAAUAAAUAAAUAAAUACUUAGAAUGAUUAACUCUGACCUCGACUAUUUACUAUUCAUUAUAUAAUAUCAAAACCUGGGAACGCCUCGGGAUUCCCCCGGAAGAGCUGGAAGAAGUGGCCGGGGAGAGGGAAGUCUGGGCCUCCCUUCUGAGGCUGCCACGCCCGCGACCCGACCCGGAUAAACGGGAGAAAAUGGAUGGAUGGAUGUAACAUCAAAAUUAUAGUUUGUUCUUGACUCCCUCAUCUCUACUUCACCAGUUUAAGAAAGCACUGGUUAAAGUUUGCGCUUAAAAUGAUUAGUUUUACUAACUAACUAAAAUUAUUAGUUUAUAAUUAGUUUUAUAUUUUGUGCUUAAUCUUGUAUUUCAUUAUUGUUUAGAUUCGUUCUCUGUUAAAUUAUGGCUCAUAUUUUGUGUUCUCUUUUAUUUGUAUAAAUGUAGAACCAAGUCUGUUAAGUGUUGAUUGAAAAAUGAAUAUUGAGCAUAUUAAAACUCAUGUAAUUUUAACAGUGGGUAAGUUGUUUUAAAGCUAUAGACUCAAAAUUAAUGCCAGGAACAAUGACAACAAUGAUUCUCGGCUUCUGAACAGAGAAAACAAAUGGUUUGAAGGAAGGGUGAAAGACUCUUUGCCAAAAACAGAAAAAAUCAACUCUGAACUGAGGGUGAAGGUUACAACUUUAUCUGCAAAUUUGUUUUGAACCUAAUUCAAAAAAAAUUGCAUGAGCAUUCCCACCAUUCCACUCCAAACAAAAGAACCAAAGAAACCAGGUGGGGGAUGAGCAGGUCGUUGAUUUACAUCUGACUGGGAAUGAACUGAAGAGGAUGGACCUCCAUGAAUUUAAAAGAGAAAAAGAGUCAGGUUACAACACCAAGUUGCUGAACUGCAAAACUCCUGCAUGGGAGUCAAUAAUGGAGAUUUAUCUAAAGAGGAGGUUCUCAAUGAACCCAGCAACCAGGGGGAAAACUCCACUUUAGAUCCAAAGAAACCAGAACAUCUGCAGAUAAAACAGAAACAAGAGGAACCAGAACCUCUGCUAGGAAUACAGAAACAAGAGGAACCAGAACCUCUGCAGA